CUUCUCUGCUGACGAGCGGCGGACGGGUGAGUAAUGUAUGGGGAUCUGCCUGAUGGCGGGGGAUAACUACUGGAAACGGUAGCUAAUACCGCAUAAUGUCUUCGGACCAAAGCGGGGGACCUCCGGGCCUCGCGCCAUCAGAUGAACCCAUAUGGGAUUAGCUAGUAGGUGAGGUAACGGCUUACCUAGGCGACGAUCCCUAGCUGGUCUGAGAGGAUGAUCAGCCACACUGGGACUGAGACACGGCCCAGACUCCUACGGGAGGCAGCAGUGGGGAAUAUUGCACAAUGGGCGCAAGCCUGAUGCAGCCAUGCCGCGUGUAUGAAGAAGGCCUUCGGGUUGUAAAGUACUUUCAGUCGGGAGGAAGGUGG
rnacentral:rRNA from 1 species